AAGUGCGAAAAGUGUCACGACUUGCAGAUUCCCGAGAGCUGACAAAUCUCUGAAUGCAAAUGGCAGCCGUCGCAAGACACGGCUAUGGAUUGUGGAGUGUAGAUGCUCCAGCUCAUCAUCACGAGUCUUUUCUUGGUCAAACAAGUAAAGGCCGUGGAUCUGCGCUUCCGAGGUACCGGGAGUGUCAAGAGAAAAGGUGUUCUUCGUUCGACCCUGUGAAGGCUUCAAACCCCAUCAUAGGUUAGAAGAAACGACCGACGAAUUUCUUAAAUUCGGGUUCGGAAGUGUGUGUUUCGACGCAUGUCUUUCUAACUUUCUCAUGAGCCACCUCCACAAUGCAUGAUAACCCGCUGAACUUAAGC
rnacentral:misc_RNA from 1 species